rnacentral:rRNA from 1 species
GACGAACGCUGGCGGCGUGCUUAACACAUGCAAGUUGAACGGAAAGGCCCUGCUUUUGUGGGGUGCUCGAGUGGCGAACGGGUGAGUAACACGUGAGUAACCUGCCCUUGACUUUGGGAUAACUUCAGGAAACUGGGGCUAAUACCGGAUAGGAGCUCCUGCUGCAUGGUGGGGGUUGGAAAGUUUCGGCGGUUGGGGAUGGACUCGCGGCUUAUCAGCUUGUUGGUGGGGUAGUGGCUUACCAAGGCUUUGACGGGUAGCCGGCCUGAGAGGGUGACCGGCCACAUUGGGACUGAGAUACGGCCCAGACUCCUACGGGAGGCAGCGGUGGGGAAUAUUGCACAAUGGGCGGAAGCCUGAUGCAGCAACGCCGCGUGCGGGAUGACGGCCUUCGGGUUGUAAACCGCUUUCGCCUGUGACGAAGCGUGAGUGACGGUAAUGGGUAAAGAAGCACCGGCUAACUACGUG